AACAAACGCUGGCGGCGUGCCUAAUACAUGCAAGUCGAACGGGGUAGCAAUACCUAGUGGCGCACGGGUGAGUAACGCGUGGAUAAUCUGCCUUAGAGUGGGGGAUAACUAGUCGAAAGAUUAGCUAAUACCGCAUAAGACCACAAGAACUGCGGUUCAAGGGGUCAAAGGUUUUUCGCUCUAAGAUGAGUCCGCGUAAGAUUAGCUAGUUGGUGAGGUAAUGGCUCACCAAGGCGACGAUCUUUAACUGGUCUGAAAGGAUGACCAGUCACACUGGAACUGAGACGCGGUCAAGACUCCUACGGGAGGCAGCCGUAGGGAAUAUUGCACAAUGGAGGAAACUCUGAUGCAGCGACGCCGCGUGAGUGAUGAAGGCCUUCGGGUCGUAAAGCUCUGUCGCAGGGGAAUAACACAAUGAAUGUACCCUGUAAGAAAGGAUCGACUAACUUCGUGCCAGCAGCCGCCGUAAAAC
rnacentral:rRNA from 1 species